UGGGGAAUAUUGCACAAUGGGCGCAAGCCUGAUGCAGCCAUGCCGCGUGUAUGAAGAAGGCCUUCGGGUUGUAAAGUACUUUCAGCGGGGAGGAAGGCGAUAAGGUUAAUAACCUUGUCGAUUGACGUUACCCGCAGAAGAAGCACCGGCUAACUCCGUGCCAGCAGCCGCGGUAAUACGGAGGGUGCAAGCGUUAAUCGGAAUUUCUGGGCGUAAAGCGCACGCAGGCGGUCUGUCAAGUCGGAUGUGAAAUCCCCGGGCUCAACCUGGGAACUGCAUUCGAAACUGGCAGGCUAGAGUCUUGUAGAGGGGGGUAGAAUUCCAGGUGUAGCGGUGAAAUGCGUAGAGAUCUGGAGGAAUACCGGUGGCGAAGGCGGCCCCCUGGACAAAGACUGACGCUCAGGUGCGAAAGCGUGGGGAGCAAACA
rnacentral:rRNA from 1 species